UCAACACUCAGAAAGAAGAAGAAAGUUGCGAAGAAAAAAAGAAACUGUUCAUACCCAUGAUGAAACUCCCCCGGACUCCCCCGCCCCGAGCGAUUGUUGUGUAGUUAUUUUUUUUUUUCUUUUUCCAAAAAGUUCUGCCAUCUGUCGUUUGCAUGUAACAAUCUAAACGGAGGACUCGGCAGUUUGAGAACUGGUGCGGGAAGAGCUCGCUCGGGUACCACCGGCUCGUCCACAGCGCACAUCAAAGCACCUCGGAGCUGGGCGCACCGAGUCAGGCGUCAGGCGCAAGCAGGGAACAUUCCGUGCCGGGUUCUCAGCCCCCAGGAUGAGUGGUCUCGGUUAACACCCAGUGUCUGCUUGGUUUCAGUAGUUUCACUGGAUUCCUGGCUUUCUCUGUACCUCACAAAUAAGCGAAGACUUCGGUUUUAAAAUAAAAGGUUAAACAAACAAAAACAAACAAAUAAAUAGAAAAACAAACUUAGCCUCCCCCUACUUCUUUAGGUCGGCUGCUCCCAAGGGACUGAGAUCAGGUAUGUUUUCAUCUUUUUUUCCUGUUUUUGUUUGUUUGUUUACUUUGAUUUUUUUUUCUUUCUGGCCUUGAGUAAGGCAAAAAUCAGGACCGAGGAGGGCAGGUUCCCCCCUCAGAGGGCUGCGGAACGUGAAAACAGACACACACGUACUCCUGUUCUUAAUGGACUAGCCGUUCCCUGGCCCUGGAGACCGCAGGGCUUCGGGGAAUGGCUGCUCCGUGCCAGCCUCCCAGUAAGGGUGGUUCACACUGUAUCUGUAGCGAGACAGCUUUGCUCUGAAGACUCAACCACUCCCCACUGCGGGGUACUUUUUCCUAAGCUGGUCGGAUUCCCGCCCACUUUUCAUUUUACAUUCCUGCCCCUUGGCCAUCCUUUGAUGGGUGGGAGGAGUUUCCCAUCCCUUGUUCUGGGCUUCCUGCUAAUUCCUUAGCAUUUCCUGAUAAGGACCGGCCUUAGAAGCUAAUAGCUCAGGAGCCCUGAUGGAGAAAACGGAACACAGCGGACUCUCCUCAGAAGCCCCCUCAGAGCCUAGGAAUCCUCAACUGUAGCAACCAAACCGCACACAGCCCUAGCAUCCGCCCUGUGUGGAAUAUCAGUAUCUGAUGGCUUUUCGCCCCUCUGUCUUUCUCCCUUUUCAUGAUAAGCUUCAAUUAAAGCCCUGAUAACAAAACCAAAGAUCAUGCUAACAGCUUCAGUAAGUUUCCCACGGCACCUCCAAGGCAAUUAGAAAUAAUGAUGGCUAGUUUAGUCAGUUUCGCACAACCUACAAUCACGUGGGAAGGGAGUCUCAGAGAGGGAUACCCAGAUCAGGCUGGCCAUGGACCGGCCUGAGGGGGGUUGUCUUGAUGAUUUGAUGUGGGAAGAUCCAGCCCACAGUAGGCAGCAUGAUCUGGGAUCUGGAGGAGCAUAGAGUCCCUCUCGGCUUUGAACUGUGGAUGUGGUGCAACCGGCUGCUUCAAGUUCACACUGCCUCGACUUCCUCACCAUGAUGCACUGAGGAAGGCAUUUCCUUGAUUAGCUCUAUUCUCCCAGCAAGUCCGUCUCACCUCUGCCCUGGUAGUGGAAAAACAAACAUGUUACCUAGCACAGUGAGCUCACACCUUGAAUCCCAGCACUUGAGGAGGCAGAGGCAAGCGCAUCUCUGUGAGUUCGAGGCCAGCCAGGACUACAAAGUGAGACCCUCUCAAAGCAAAACACCAACAGAGAUGCCCCUGUCUGUUGUGAGCAAAGAAACCCAGAGUGGAGCUGACUGAUGGAAGCAUGUCCUACUACGGCGAGUCUUCGGUGGUGUGUGAGCCACCAGUGUCCUUAUUGUCUAAAGGUUAGACAUUUGCAAGGUUUUUGUUGUUGAUUUUUUUGGUUUUUUUUUUUUUUUUUUUUUGGCAAAGACAUCCCCCACCCCCACCUCCCCCACACCAUUUGCACAAUACUUUCCAAACCUUCCCAACGGACAGACAGUUAACUGCUUGCAGAAGAACCUUUCCACAAUGAAAACUAUAUGUUGCAGUGGGAAGAGGGCAUUCACCUUUUAUUUAUUAAAUUUCAGCUCUAGGAUCAACCCGUGCUCAGCUCGCCCCCUCUCCACGGACCUCCCGUCCUGCCUGGCUCUCCUGGACUUUUUUUUCCUGACCAAAGACUAACUCUUGCCUGUCUUUUCCUCAAACCAAGUCAGAUGGUUUUGUAUUGAAUGCUAAAGUCUCAAUGCAAAGGUUCUGAGAUGGCUCAGCUGGUAACUUGCCACCAAGGUAAUGACCUGAGUUAACCCCAGAACCAACUCGGUGGAAGGAGAGAACCAACUUACACACACAUACACAUACGUACACACAUACACACACACAUACACAUACAUACACACAUACACAUACACACAUACACACACAUACACAUACAUACACAUACAUACACAUACACACACAAACACACAGGCAUACAUACACAUAUACACAUACAUACACACACAAAUACACAUACACAUAUAUACACACACACAUACAUACAUACACACAUACACAUACAUACACACAGGCAUACACACAGGCAUACACACACAUACAUGCACACAUACACACAUACACACACAUACAUACACAUACAUACACAUACACACACAAACACAUACACACAUAUACAUACACACAUAUAUACACACACAUACACAUACAUACACACACAUACACACAAGCAUACACACACAUACAUGCACACAUACACACACAUACAGAUACAUACACAUACACAUACACACAGGCAUACACACAUACACAUACACACAUACACAUACACACACAUACACACACACAUACACACAGGCAUACAUACACACAUACACAUACAUACACACAGGCAUACAUACACACAUACACAUACAUACACACACAUACACACACACAUACACAUACACACAUACACACACACACACACACUUUUUAAGUUUCAAGGGUAGCAGGCUGAGCACUGCAUUACACACUUAUAACACCAACAUUUGAGACAUAUAAAUAGAAAGACCAGGAGUUCCAGGUUGUCCUCAGCUACAUAGUGAGUCUGAGGUUAGCCUGGACUAUAAAGUGAGACCCUGUCUCAAGAAAACAAAACAGAAAAGUUUCAAUACUGACUAUAGUGCCAUUAAUUCUUAUAAUUCUAGUUGCUUGGGAAGCUGAGGUAGGGCCUGGGCUAUAGCACCCUAGUUUAAAGCUAGGCUGCACCAGGUAGGACCUAGUCUCUCAAAGGAACAAAGGACUGAGGAUAUCCGGGGUGAAACAUAUACACAUGCAUGCAUGUAUACACAUGUACACAUGAAUGCAUGUAUACACAUGUAUGCACACACAUAUACACAUGAAUGCAUGUAUACACAUGUAUGCACACACAUAUACACAUGCAUGCACAUAUACACAUGUAUGCCCACAUACAUAUACACAUACAUACACUAUACACAUGUAUGCCCACACAUAUACACAUGCAUGCACAUAUACACAUAAAUGCACACACACAUAUACACAUGCAUGCACAUAUACACAUAAAUGCACACACACAUAUACACAUGCAUGCACAUAUACACAUAAAUGCACACACACAUGCAUGUGCACACACAUGCAAGCAUACAUAUACACUGCACAUAUUGCUUUAUGCACAGUUAUCAUCAUUAUUAAGGACAUUGAAGGUCAGUGAGCAGCCCAAUGUAUGUUCAUUUGUUUGUUUUCAGACAGGGCCUAUGUGGCUAUUAUAUAGCCCAGGCUGGCCUAUAUCGUUCUGCUUCAGCCUCCCAAAUGCUGUGGUGAUAGGAUCUGGGCAUCUCCUGUACAUGAAGACCACUGAGGCCCAAUAGAGAAGCAGCUGCUUACUCAAGGCCAUGCACACUUGUGAAAGAGCUGGGAUAGGAGCUCUUUCCACAAGCCACAUUGGUCUGAUUUCCGUUAGCCCGGGGCCUUGCACAGAGCUGGUCUAGGAUGGGGUAAAUCAUCCCUACCCACAGGAGAAUUACAAUACAAUUAGCAUCUUCCUCCCUUCCUUUGGCCCCUCCUCAGACUCCUUAUCUUUUGGGUGGCCCCCUUCCUGCUGUUUGGGUUGGAUUUUAUUUCUUGUAGACUCUGGCUGCUCUCCAGACCUAAAAGGCUCUUAGCCCCAUUAUCCUGACAGGCUGAGUCCCUAACCCUGGCUGAAAUGUUGUCUUUUUAUGGAAGUAGGCCCAGACACCUCACUAGUACUUUGACCUCACCUACAUCCUUUUCUUGAGGGAGCCAUGCCCACUUGCUUUCUUCCCCAGCCUUCCCUAAAGCAUUAACUCAUCCCCUGCCAUGCGUGUAGGAUGCCAAGCACAGGAGAAAGGAAUCGGAUGUGUUUUCAAAAGCCUAGGAGAGUCCCUGCCUGCAGCAGAUGCUCACAAGCCCUGAGAUGGAAACGGUCUAGCCUGUGCUUAAUGUCCAGAAAUUCAUACAGCAGGGACCUCUGAGCAAGAUCAAGGUGUGUGUCUCUUCCACACUCCCCAGAGUACCUGACAUGUUAGGCCCUUGGGCUCAAAAUAAACUCUCAUCUGUAUAAAAUGUUGGGAGGACCUGGGGCUUGAAUCUAAACACCUUUUUUUUGAUUUUUUUUUUUUUUUGGUUCUUUUUUUCGGAGCUGGGGACCGAACCCAGGGCCUUGCGCUUCCUAGGUAAGCGCUCUACCACUGAGCUAAAUCCCCAGCCCCCUUUUUUUUGAUUUUUAACUGUGUUUUUUCUAUGUGUGUUCAUGUGUGGGUGUGUGUGCCUGUGUAUGAAGGUGCCCAGCAGCCAGAGGCAUCCAAUACCCUGGAGCUGGCGUUACAGGUGGUUGGCUCUGAGGAUCAAAGCAAGUGGCAGGUCAGUCUGGUCUACAUGGCCAUAUCCUGUCCUACAAAAAGAGAAGAAAAACAAAGAAAGAAAAAUAAAAAAAAGGAAGGAAGGAAGGAAGAAAGGUAGGCCAGGGAAAACAACAAGAACAACAAAACACUAAACACAAAUAAAAUUCCAAACAGGGACUGAAGACCCCAGUGUGGUUUGCCCCCAGGGUAUCCCUGGGCACGAUUCCAGCCCAAUACAUGAGCAGUAAGAGGGCGCACCUGGGCAACACUAAUGCUUUCCUUGGGCUGGCGACAGCAGAUCAGCCCAGGGAAAGGAGCCAGGUCCCCCUCGCUGCAUAGAAGAAUGCUUUGGACAGAUUUCCAGCCACCCUGAGAUUGUUUUCAAGUCUUGAAAGGCAGGGCCUGUCUGCGGGUUCUCCCUCUCCACAGGUGAUGGGGCUUGAGAAAAUAUGUCUAUGUGGAGUCCAGGAGACUUCAAUCAGAUGUUUAAACAAUGCCUCAUUUAGAAGAUGAACCAGCACAAUGUAACCAGGGGGGGAGUUUGGAAUCUCUACCUUGGGAGUGACAGAUCUUCCAAAAUGAAAAGAGGCCAGGCAUGGUGGCUGCCUCCUGUAAUCCCAGCACUGGGGUGGCAAAGGCAGGAGGAUCAGGAGUUCAAGGACCGGCUUUCCCUGAAUAAUGAAUUCAAGGAUAGUGUGGGCCAAAUGAAACCCUGCCUUAAAACUAGAAUAGAGGAGAAUGGAGGGAGGGAUCAAAGGGGAGCAGGAAGAAAAACAGUGAUGUUUACAGGACCAAGACUUCACUGCUUUUCUAAACCAUGAACUGUAACAUUGGAGUCAAACGACGUGACUGCGACCCAGGGCUGCUAGGGAGACUGCAUGGAUUCCCUGUGAUCGCAGCCAUUUUUGUCUUGGUUUCUCUGUCAUUUGUUUGUUAACCAAACAAAUGGGUUGGGGUUUUUUUCCCUGUUUUUUGUCUGUCUGUUUGUUUGUUUGUUUUUGGAGACAGAGUUUCUCUGUGUAGCCUUGGCUAUCUUGGAACUUGCUCUGUAGACCAGACUGGCCUCAAUCUGCCUGCCCUCUGCCUCACAUGGGCUGGAAUUAAAAGGCAUGCACCACCGCGUCUUUUUAAAUAUUCAAUUUCUUAGAAGUUUUAUACGUGUUUGUGCACACACGAGUGUGUUCCAGUGCCUGGAGAGGCCAGAAGAGGACGUCAGAUCCCCUGUAGCUGGCUUGAGACCCUUGUGUGUUAUUCCAUUGUGGUGGCAGGGAACUUAACUGGGGUCCUCAGGAUGCAUAAUUACUUUCAAUCCCUGAGCCAUCUCUCCAGCCCGGGUUUCCCGUCUCUUAAACAGGGUCAUGAAACACUGUUAGGAUCAAACAAUACACACCACAGGAGUUAGCUGCUGUGUCCCUGAGUAGAAUGCUGUUUUCGCCACACAGAGUUCUAGAUGUAAUUCAUCUUUCUCAGAGGGAGCCAGCAAUAAGGGCCCAAAGAGACAUGGAUAGCCCCAGCUGUAGGCAGAACUCCCAGAAGACACAAGGGAAAGGGAAGAACUUAAGGCAGCUGACCACAGACUGUAGAUAAGUGGGGAGUUGGAAGGGAAAAAAUAGCAACAUUUUUUUAGAGAAAUCUCAAACCCACUCAGGGGCAGAGGCAGGAAGAUCUUUAGUUCUAGGUCAGCCUGAGCUGGAAAGCUGACCCUGUUUCAUAAAAACUUAAAAAAAAAAUUUUUUUUCUUUAAAAGAGAGAAAUGUGGGCAGGAAGGAUGGCUCAGCGGAUAAGAGCACUGACUGCUCUUCCAGAGGUCCUGAGUUCAAUUCCCAGCAACCACAUGGUGGCUCACAACCAUCUGUAAUGGGAUCCGAUGCCCGCUUCUGGUAUGUCUGAAGACAGGGACAGUGUACUAUAAACAAACAAACGAACAAAUUAAUAAAGUAAUAUGUUAUUUUAAAAAGAGAAAUAGAAAAACCCUUCUUUUUCUUCUUCAACUUCCUCCUCCUCCUCAUCUUCUUUUUGGAGGCAGGGUUAAAACAGGGUUUUACUAUAUAGCCCUGUCUGUUUCUGGUACUCACUCUGUAAACAAGGCUAGCCUCAACCUUAGAAAUCCACUCACUUCUGCCUCCCGAUUGCUGGGAUUAAAGGCUUUUUAUUUUUUUAAGGGAAAGUGAGGAAGGGCCUAUUAUGUACUAGGAAAGAUCGCCUCUUCAACCACGUCUGCCAAGUUGACCACACAUCUCUAUGUGCUUGUGAAGCAGGCGGGUUUGAGGCUGGCUGACAAGAGGGAGGAAACAGGGGUGUGUUCAACUCUGUUCUGUGCUGCAGACUUGGUGUAAUUAAAAUCACCCACAGACACCAAGGGCAGCCCCUGCUUAUCUCUGAGCUUUUCACAGAUGAAUGCAUUUAACACACACACUCUCUCUCUCUCUCUCUCCCUCUCUCUCUCUCUCUGAAGUUUUUGGGACAGUAUAGAUUAAAGAGACUGAGGGUAUUAAAGGAUCACAGCAUUAGGAAGGUUGAGAACCAGUGGACCAGAGGAAGGUUUGUCUGGUAUACAGCAGGCUCUCAGUGUGCCCCGUGCCUGAGGCUCAGGCAUGGCUGGAUCUGUGACUAACAGAUAAAUCCUGGGGGGCAUGAGUGGAACCUCUUUCCUUCCAGGUCUCAGUGAAUGAAGAAGAGUCUAGACCAAUCAAUCACCCAGCACACAGAGCCGCUUGCUGAAGUACAGAGAGGAGGGGGAUCAGCACAAAGACCAGUUUGCUCCCACAAAAUACACUUGAAAAAACAAAAA